AUUUAAAAAGUUUAUCUUCAGACUGAUUUUGGAACCCUGUAGUAGGGUUGGAGUGUUGUUGCAACCAUGGUGGCCCAGGAAAAAUGCAAGAAGAAAGCGCAUUUGUGAAACCCUGUUCUACUUUGAUUGGCAGAGGCAGAUUCAGACUCUUUAAAAUCUGAAAAGGCCACAGGAACUGAACUCGAAGUGGGGAGCCAAUGACUUUUAGCAGCUAUGGACAGAUAUAGUCCAGUCUACACAGGACCUGGAAAAAGUUCAAGAGAUGACCUCUUCAAAGAAUUCUUGUGAGCAUUCCAAGAGUGGGAAAUAGCCAUGUCCUCAUGGAUGUAGCUCCUGGGUAUUACAGAAAAACAAAGAAGAAUCUGGGAAACCAUGGAAAAGUUCAGUUAUAAUUUAGUUAUUUCCUAGAUUAAGGUCUAUACCACAGCUUGUGUAUGGCCUUCAGCCCACACUCUCUGGGACACCCCUUUCACUGCAAAAGUGCUAUAAAACUGUCCUGUGCCACAGGCCACAGGAUGACAAAGGAAACUGCAAGCCAUGGGAGAUCCCCUUAACUCUCUCAACCAGCAAUGGCUUGACCUUUUUAUUACUAUCCCACAUCCUGUUACUCAGAGAAAAGCUUUGAGCAUCCUGCCUACACAAAUUUUGGAACUUGAGAACACAAACAUGACUGUAUGAUAAUGAAUUACUUUUUAGUUCUUAGUGGAUCUUAAAUGUGCAUGAUAUUAUGUAUGUGUGUUUGAUAAUAUUUGUACUGCUCAUAUUGGUUUAUUCACUGCUAUCUAUGGCAAUGCAUUGACAAUAACUUUAGGCUUACGGGUUAGCAUCUAGGACAAUGCAUUAAAAUACCCACUGCACUCCACUGAGUCAUAAAAUGCUCAUCUUCAACGUACCUCCAAAUGCACAAUGUUAAAACCCUAAAGCUUUGCACCACUACCAUCACACAUUAAUACAUAGAGUAUGUACAAUUAAAAUAUAUGUGUGUGUGUG